GCUGAUAUAAUCCAAUGAAAAUGUGUUUUUCUUUCCUGUAACCAAAACAGUUUGUAUGUUUUACUUUGGAAAUUAAGUGCAACUUGGAUACAUGUACCAGAGAGGACUGUGUUAAAAGUUUCUAUAAAAUCGCAAGUUUGUUGAAACAACCUAUAAUAAUUAUUGAAUAUGGUAAUAACCUAAAAUUGUACAUCAAGACCUUAAUUAUUGCGGUUUUGUUAAAGAUCUUAAGUAGUUUAAAAAAUUUUGAUGUGAAAUUAGUCUUUAUUUGUGAGUUCAUCUAAAAUCAGAAAACACCGAAAGCAAUACAAUUAAAAGAAGUUAGUGUUAUAACAAGUAUCUCAGUGUUAUCUUAAAUACUCAUGUCAAUUAUUAUUCGUUUUUGUGUUGCGUGACAUUCCUGGUGCUGUUAGAGUAUUUCGUCAAGAACCAUAAACAGAUAAAAAAUGAUGGAUUAUAUGAAAGGGAGUUCCAGUUAUGUAAGCAGGUUGGCAAUUUACAUUUAGAAGUAUAUUCAAAUGAUAAGCAGGAGACGUCAAUGCCACUUGGCCGAUGGGCAAUUAUAUUGGCAAGUGGUUAAUUUAAACAGGAGUUCCAGUUAUGUAAGCAGGUUGGCAAUUUACAUUUAGAAGUAUAUUCAAAUGAUAAACAGGAGACGUCAAAUCCACUUGGCCGAUGGGCAAUUAUAUUGUCAAGUGGUUAAAUUAAACAAGAGAUUCACUUAUGUAAGCGGGGUGUCAGUAUUUAGAUGGAUCAUCAAAUGAUUAGCAAGAGACGUUCAAAGCCAGCUAGUCUAAACACUUGGCCAUAAAAUGGCUUGACAUUAUUCUUCCUAUUUUGUCGAUACUACACUGUUGCAUUGUAUACAACUUGAGUGGCAAGUUUAUAUUUAUACGAAGUGAUCAAUUCUGUAAAAGAAACGAAAAGAACUUCUAUCACGGGUUCUAUGAAACAAUGUUUACUGAAAGAAUAUGAAAGAAGAAGAAAAUAAUCUUGACUUUCCAUGUACAAAUGAACUGUCUUAAAAUCUGACAUUGACGUUGCUAACGUUUGAUAGAGUAGAAAUGGCCUAAGCCCUAGAAGAGGGCCAUCAGUUUAACCGGUUUAGUAUAUUCAAGUAUAGGUAGUAUUCAGAAUCAUUUGCUGAUGUUUCUGCUGUUAUUGAUCGACCACACAAUGAAACAAGUUAUUAUGUAAAGGGAAUAUGAUGCAGAUUUCUCAAAUGAUUACGAAUCAUAACCUUAUAAUAUUUUGUAACACGAAUUAGUCAUUUUGUUCGCACGUGAUAAACUAUACAGAAUAGAUUCGACAUAGAUGUGUGAAUAUUGGUAUAACAAGAUAUGUCUUGUUAAAACUACUGAAUGUGCACACAUAAAUUAAAACCAGCAAUUACAUGAUUACUAAAUGAGUUCUGUCUUUCAGGUUUCUGUGUUCAGGAUAUUUCUGCUGAAUCUGGGGCAGGCGGUAUCCUGUCAGCUUGAUAAAAGCGUAAGAGCUUCUUCUGUUUUUGAAUUUGUGGAAGUACUCAUUAAUAUUUCGUGUGAGUUCGAGUAUUAUAUCUUAUAAUAUCACAGUGCUUUCAACAGCUUUAUUUAUAUAAAUGAAUAGAGAGGGAAAUUUGCAUUAUCAUUACGAUUUUUCGAAGGUGCAGUUAAGGGAAGAAAUAUAAAAGUUACUAUUCGGCAUUCUUCAAUAUACAUGUAAAUCAUUGUAGAAAAUGUCGACCAUGAACUCUCUGCAAUAUCUCAGUUCUGUAUAUACAUGCAUUAUCACAAGCAUAUUAAUUUUUUCGGAAAAACAUCAACGUAAUAAUAAAAUGAUUUAAAUAACAUAAAAUAAUAAUAAUAAAGCACGAUACGAAUCGUAGUCAAAGUAAUCGUAAAGAACUGUUAUCGAACCUACGGCAACUUGUGCAGGAGUCAAAGAUUUUACCACGUUGCCCAUUUUAAGAUAUUAUU